GGAAACUUGGCAGAGUGGCUGAAUGCAACGGUUUGCUAAACCGUCCACGAGAAAUCGUGCACAGGUUCAAAUCCUGUAGUUUCCG
rnacentral:tRNA from 1 species